UGAGGGCAAAACAAGUGGCAAGGGAGAUGUACGCCAGGUCCUUAGAGUUGGAGGUCACUAGGGGAGAGAGGUCAUCCUGAAAGAGAAACAGCAAACCAAGAAUUACAGGCAUGAUGGUAUAAGAAAAGGGAAAGAAUUCUGAAUGACUGCAACUCGGGAGACCAGCAGGAGGAGGAGAAGCAGACAGGUUGAACUCGACGUUUUGGCAAUCUCUUUGGUUGGCUCUGAAAUUCUCUCAUGCAAAAGCUGUCAUGAAAAUAAGCAGUUCUUCUAAGAUCGGAAGGGUCACAGGAGAUGCAUGAAAUCGGAAAGGCCUCUUCCCAACCCCGGACACCCUGCUGCAAUUCUCUAAGGAAGACUGUAUUAUUGAGAAUGAUAAUUCCAGCCUCCUCACCAGAGAUAACGUCACCAAUGACGCCGACAACGAUGACCUCGUAGGGCUGUGACGAUGACCUCGUAGUGCUGUGGUGAAGAUCACACAAGAAAAUCAGUGCUCCAAACUCUACAGGAGCUCCUGACAUCUCUGUGGGAGACCAAGAUGGCUGCUCAGGA